GUUCACAUGCCUUCCGGGCACCUGCCUUGACGUCACUCCACCCCAUAUACUAUAUUCCGAUUACAUAUUCCUGAGGAAACAGCAACUAAAUAUUCAGCUACUACAAACCUUUACUUCUUGCUCUCUGGCUUCUUACUCUACAUCUUACUGUGAAAUAGAUAUCGGUCCAUACACACCGAAGAAAUCUUGGUCUACAUAUGCUGAUGCCAGAACGGUCCCGGUUCAUAUACACCGUUCGUCACUACUAUGGUCGGUUGCCAAGGACAACCUCGAGUCUGAGCCUAAGUCCAAGUAUCAGGGACCGUAUUCCCUCUGGUUUACUUACCUUCCUUUUUU